UACGAGGGGGGCAAGCGUUAUUCAAUAUAACUAGGCGUAAAGCGUCUGUAGGCGGCAAGUUUCGUUAUCAUAAAAAAUUAAAGCCCAACUUUAAAACAUUGAUAAAACGUGCUUGCUAGAGUCAUGGAGAGGGUAGUAGAAUUUCUGAUGUAGGGAUGGAAUCCAGUCACAUCAGAAGGAAUUCCGAGGGCGAAGGCAACUAU
rnacentral:rRNA from 1 species